CUAUGACCCAAGAGGGAGCCUGGCCUGAAUCGAGAGCAGAAGAUAAAUGGGUUCCUUGGCUAGGAUGUCUUUGCUGCUGGGAGAGGGAGAUCAGCAGGCAGCUGUGCCCGCUUAGCCCCUUGUGCAAGGAGCACCCACACAUGUGUGUGAAGAAAAGCACUGCUUUUAAGAGCAAUUCUCUCUGCACGAAAACUGAAUGUCUGCAACAGAGGGACGUAAAUGAAAAACAGUAUGUCCACAGCUUGGAACAUCAUGAAGCAAUGAAAAGAAUAAGCACCAGAGAUGUGUUCAGUCAUGGAAAGAUACCAAGACAUAUUAUUGAGUAGAAAACUGAUGACGCGGCAGGAGAAAGAAGAAAUAACCUUAAGGAAACACCAAUUUCCUCAGUUCUAUCCAUGCUUCAGUUUGGAACCUAAAUGAACAAAAAUAGACAUCCCAUUGAGUUACUUAGACUCUUCAGGGAGGAAGGCUGGGGGUGGGACAGGGCGAUUUUAGACUACAGACACGCCAGCAACUUCAGGAUGUUCCCACGAUACUGGCUACAUUUGUUAAAAAUACCUUCAAUUCCAAAAAUUACAAAGAGUGCAACUAAUCCUGUUCAUUAAAGCCAAGAAAAACACACCAAGUCACACACAAUGUAUGGCUGAAAGAGAGGGAUUUCCACCAAGAAGAGGAACAUGCAGCAGCCCUGCAGGUCAGGCUGGUCCUACACGCCACGUGCUCUGCCCUACACCCAGACAGCGGAGCCCAGCUCCUCCCUGGAAACAGGCUCAGGUGCCUCCAAGAUCUUCUCCACCCCCACCCCCACCCGGCCUGAACUUCAUCCCAAAGAGGCUGCUUUUAUGCCUACCAGCAUCUUCACCCAGGCACCAGGAACAGCCCUUGACUCUAUACCUAGAGAAAAAAGCAAAUCACUGCUUUAGAGUGCUUCCCACUCCCUCAUCACACGCAGGAGUAGAGGGCCAUACGACUGUAGAAUGACAGGCACAGGAAACACAAUGUUCCCGGUGACAAGAACAGCCUGUGGACUGGGCAUGCCUUUGACAUACAACCACUGGCUUGAUCCUACAGAACUCUGUGAAGGAGAUUGUGAGCCCAUCUCUCAGGUAGGACAUCCUGAGGCUCCGAGGUGGUCCAGGCAGACUGUGCUGCUGCAAGGUGGUGGCCAGACCCUGAGUCAGGCUGCCAUCUUCUGAGCAUCGCCUUGCUAUGCCUUCCCUCCCACUGGCACGGCAGCUUCUCCCAACUUCGGUGGGGUCUGCUCACUCAGGGCUCCUUCCUCCCCUGCUCCGUGCCCAGCGGCCCCCGGGGAGCACUGCCCAGCCAAAGCUCCUGAAGGAACUUAUCCUGCAGGAAAGGGGCAGGGUCUUUCAGAGGGAGAACUUCUGCCUGGGCCUUCCUUCUGCCCGUCAACCCCCAACUUCAGUUGCGCUCUCCUGCUGGUCUGCAGCAACGGGUGUGUCUGCCAGUGACCCGAGGUGAUCUCGCUGGAGAGCCCGGGUGAGGCAGCACAGGGCCGCUGGCCGGCCCAGGGACCAGCAGGAACAACCUGCACAUCCACAUUCUCACCGGUGGCUCUCUGCAGACUCUCUGCAGGGCCCUCCUCAGCUCAGCACGCCCACUCCUCCCCAUGUGCGGGGGCAGCGUGUGCUGGAACCCCCGUGGCCAAGCUCACGCUGUGACCUAGCCUCUCUGAGCCUCACAUUUACUUUUGUAAAAAAUGUUUUAAUAGAUUGAAUUUUAAA